AUGGAUGCGCGUCGAUUUGGCCGGAACAACAACAAGGCUAUGCGGUGGAGGACCCAGGUAGAUUCACGGUGGCAUUACCGGAGUGGUGGUGGUCGGUUGCGGUGCUGGCUGGGAGUUGCUUUUGGGAGAGGUCGCCGUCGAUUUUCCAAAGUUGCGGUGAUGGCUGUUUCACAAGCUUGCACGAUUUCAAUCUUUUCUAAUUGA